UUAUGGCUCAGGAUGAACGCUAGCGACAGGCUUAACACAUGCAAGUCGAGGGGCAGCAAUAAAAGUAGCAAUACGUUGGUGGCGACCGGCGCACGGGUGAGUAACGCGUAUGCAACCUACCUAUCAGAGGGGAAUAACCCGGCGAAAGUCGGACUAAUACCGCAUAAAACAGGGGCACCGCAUGGUGAUAUUUGUUAAAGAAAUUCGCUGAUAGAUGGGCAUGCGUUCCAUUAGGUAGUUGGUGAGGUAACGGCUCACCAAGCCGACGAUGGAUAGGGAACUGAGAGGUUGGUCCCCCACACUGGUACUGAGACACGGACCAGACUCCUACGGGAGGCAGCAGUGAGGAAUAUUGGUCAAUGGGCGGGAGCCUGAACCAGCCAAGUCGCGUGAAGGAAGAAGGAUCUAUGGUUCGUAAACUUCUUUUGCAGGGGAAUAAAGUGCAGGACGUGUCCUGUUUUGUAUGUACCCUGAGAAUAAGGAUCGGCUAACUCCGUGCCAGCCGCCGC
rnacentral:rRNA from 1 species